rnacentral:snRNA from 1 species
AUACUUACCUGGCAGGGGAGAUACCAUGAUCACGAAGGUGGUUUUCCCAGGGCGAGGCUUAUCCAUUGCACUCCGGAUGUGCUGACCCCUGCGAUUUCCCCAAAUGUGGGAAACUCGACUGCAUAAUUUGUGGUAGUGGGGGACUGCGUUUGCGCUCUA